GAUGAACGCUGGCGGCGUGCUUAACACAUGCAAGUCGAACGGAAAGGCUCCUGCUUGCAGGGGUACUCGAGUGGCGAACGGGUGAGUAACACGUGGGUGAUCUGCCCUGCACUUCGGGAUAAGCCUGGGAAACUGGGUCUAAUACCGGAUAGGACCACAUUUUGGAUGGUGUGGUGGAAAGUUUUUCGGUGUGGGAUGAGCUCGCGGCCUAUCAGCUUGUUGGUGGGGUAAUGGCCUACCAAGGCGUCGACGGGUAGCCGGCCUGAGAGGGUGUACGGCCACAUUGGAACUGAGAUACGGCCCAGACUCCUACGGGAGGCAGCAGUGGGGAAUAUUGCACAAUGGGCGCAAGCCUGAUGCAGCGACGCCGCGUGGGGGAUGACGGCCUUCGGGUUGUAAACUCCUUUCGCUAGGGACGAAGCGUUUUUGUGACGGUACCUGGAGAAGAAGCACCGGCUAACUACGUG
rnacentral:rRNA from 1 species